rnacentral:rRNA from 1 species
GACGAACGCUGGCGGCGUGCUUAACACAUGCAAGUCGAACGGAAAGGCCUUUUCGGAGGUACUCGAGUGGCGAACGGGUGAGUAACACGUGGGUGAUCUGCCCUGCACUCUGGGAUAAGCCUGGGAAACUGGGUCUAAUACCGGAUAGGACCGCACUUUAGUGUGUGUGGUGGAAAGUUUUUUCGGUGUAGGAUGAGCCCGCGGCCUAUCAGCUUGUUGGUGGGGUAAUGGCCUACCAAGGCGGCGACGGGUAGCCGGACUGAGAGGUUGGUCGGCCACAUUGGGACUGGGAUACGGCCCAGACUCCUACGGGAGGCAGCAGUGGGGAAUAUUGCACAAUGGGGGCAAGCCUGAUGCAGCGACGCCGCGUGGGGGAUGACGGCCUUCGGGUUGUAAACUCCUUUCGCCAGGGACGAAGCGUUUUGUGACGGUACCUGGAGAAGAAGCACCGGCUAACUACGUG